AGGGAAUCUUCCACAAUGGGUGCAAACCUGAUGGAGCAAUGCCGCGUGAAUGAAGAAGGUCUUCGGAUCGUAAAGUUCUGUUAUUAGAGAAGAACAAGUUGAGGAGUAACUGCCUCAACCUUGACAGUAUCUAACCAGAAAGUCACGGCUAACUACGUGCCAGCAGCCGCGGUAAUACGUAGGUGACAAGCGUUGUCCGGAAUUAUUGGGCGUAAAGGGAGCGCAGGCGGUUGGAAUAGUCUGAUGUGAAAGCCCACGGCUUAACCGUGGAAGGUCAUUGGAAACUGUCCAACUUGAAUGCAGAAGAGGUAAGUGGAAUUCCAUGUGUAGCGGUGAAAUGCGUAGAUAUAUGGAGGAACACCAGUGGCGAAGGCGACUUACUGGUCUGUGAUUGACGCUGAGGCUCGAAAGCGUGGGUAGCGAACAGG
rnacentral:rRNA from 1 species